GCAAGGACAGCAAAGGGGGGC
rnacentral:miRNA from 1 species